rnacentral:tRNA from 1 species
GUCAAGAUAGCUCAGAUGGUUAGAGCAGGGUGCUGAUAACGCCCAGGUUGCAGGUUCGAUCCUCCUAAGGGACA